GAUGAACGCUGGCGGCGUGCCUAAUACAUGCAAGUCGAGCGAACAGACGAGGAGCUUGCUCCUCUGACGUUAGCGGCGGACGGGUGAGUAACACGUGUAUAACCUACCUAUAAGACUGGGAUAACUUCGGGAAACCGGAGCUAAUACCGGAUAAUAUAUUGAACCGCAUGGUUCAAUAGUGAAAGACGGUUUUGCUGUCACUUAUAGAUGGAUCCGCGCCGCAUUAGCUAGUUGGUAAGGUAACGGCUUACCAAGGCAACGAUGCGUAGCCGACCUGAGAGGGUGAUCGGCCACACUGGAACUGAGACACGGUCCAGACUCCUACGGGAGGCAGCAGUAGGGAAUCUUCCGCAAUGGGCGAGAGCCUGACGGAGCAACGCCGCGUGAGUGAUGAAGGUCUACGGAUCGUAAAACUCUGUUACUAGGGAAAAACAAAUGUGUAAGUAACUAUGCACGUAUUGACGGUACCUAAUCAGAAAGCCACGGCUAACUACGUG
rnacentral:rRNA from 1 species